rnacentral:rRNA from 1 species
UACGUAGGGGGCAAGCGUUGUCCGGAAUCACUGGGCGUAAAGGGCGCGUAGGCGGCUCAUGAAGGCUGUGGUGAAAGUCCGGGGCUCAACCUCGGAUCGGCCGUGGCGACUCGUGGGCUGGAGCACUGUAGAGGCGGGUGGAAUUCCGGGUGUAGCGGUGGAAUGCGUAGAGAUCCGGAAGAACACCAGUGGCGAAGGCGGCCCGCUGGGCAGUGGCUGACGCUGAAGCGCGACAGCGUGGGGGGCAAACAGG